rnacentral:rRNA from 1 species
UGGGGAAUAUUGGACAAUGGGGGCAACCCUGAUCCAGCAAUGCCGCGUGUGUGAAGAAGGUUUUCGGAUUGUAAAGCACUUUCGACGGGGACGAUGAUGACGGUACCCGUAGAAGAAGCCCCGGCUAACUUCGUGCCAGCAGCCGCGGUAAUACGAAGGGGGCUAGCGUUGCUCGGAAUGACUGGGCGUAAAGGGCGUGUAGGCGGUUUGUACAGUCAGAUGUGAAAUCCCCGGGCUUAACCUGGGAGCUGCAUUUGAUACAUGCAGACUAGAGUGUGAGAGAGGGUUGUGGAAUUCCCAGUGUAGAGGUGAAAUUCGUAGAUAUUGGGAAGAACACCGGUGGCGAAGGCGGCAACCUGGCUCAUAACUGACGCUGAGGCGCGAAAGCGUGGGGAGCAAACAGGAUUAGAUACCCUGGUAGUCCACGCUGUAAACGAUGUGUGCUAGAUGUUGGGUAACUUAGUUAUUCAGUGUCGCGAGUUAACGCGUUAAGCACACCGCC